rnacentral:rRNA from 1 species
CAGUUCGGAUUGUAGGCUGCAACUCGCCUACAUGAAGUCGGAAUCGCUAGUAGUCGCGGAUCAGCAUGCCGCGGUGAAUACGUUCCCGGGCCUUGUACACACCGCCCGUCACACCAUGAGAGUUUGUAACACCCAAAGCCGGUGGGGUAACCUUUUGGAGCCAGCCGUCUAAGGUGGGACAGAUGAUUGGGGUGAAGUCGUAACAAGGUACC